rnacentral:rRNA from 1 species
UUUGGARRAARUUGAUCCUGGCUCAGGACGAACGCUGGCGGCGUGCCUAAUACAUGCAAGUCGAGCGGACAGAUGGGAGCUUGCUCCCUGAUGUUAGCGGCGGACGGGUGAGUAACACGUGGGUAACCUGCCUGUAAGACUGGGAUAACUCCGGGAAACCGGGGCUAAUACCGGAUGGUUGUUUGAACCGCAUGGUUCAAACAUAAAAGGUGGCUUCGGCUACCACUUACAGAUGGACCCGCGGCGCAUUAGCUAGUUGGUGAGGUAAYGGCUCACCAAGGCAACGAUGCGUAGCCGACCUGAGAGGGUGAUCGGCCACACUGGGACUGAGACACGGCCCAGACUCCUACGGGAGGCAGCAGUAGGGAAUCUUCCGCAAUGGACGAAAGUCUGACGGAGCAACGCCGCGUGAGUGAUGAAGGUUUUCGGAUCGUAAAGCUCUGUUGUUAGGGAAGAACAAGURCCGUUCGAAUAGGGCGGUACC